GACGAACGCUGGCGGCGUGCCUAAUACAUGCAAGUCGAACGAACCGCAACUAGGUGCUUGCACUUGGUCAAGGUGAGUGGCGAACGGGUGAGUAACACGUGGGCAACCUACCUCAUAGUGGGGGAUAACAGUCGGAAACGACUGCUAAUACCGCAUAGGACAUAGGAUCACAUGAUCCAGUGAGGAAAGGUGGCGCAAGCUAUCGCUAAGAGAUGGACCCGCGGUGCAUUAGCUAGUUGGUAGGGUAAAGGCCUACCAAGGCGAUGAUGCAUAGCCGACCUGAGAGGGUGAUCGGCCACAUUGGGACUGAGACACGGCCCAAACUCCUACGGGAGGCAGCAGUAGGGAAUCUUCCGCAAUGGACGCAAGUCUGACGGAGCAACGCCGCGUGAGUGAAGAAGGUCUUCGGAUCGUAAAGCUCUGUUGUUAGAGAAGAACAGCGCAUAGAGUAACUGUUAUGCGUGUGACGGUAUCUAACCAGAAAGCCACGGCUAACUACGUG
rnacentral:rRNA from 1 species